GUGCCAGCCGCCGCGGUAAAACGUAGGAGGCGAGCGUUAUCCGGAUUUACUGGGCGUAAAGCGCACGCAGGCGGCUUCGUUAGUCGGAUGUGAAAGCUCCUGGCUUAACUGGGAGAGGCCAUUCGAUACUGCGAGGCUUGAGGUUGGGAGAGGGGUGUGGAAUUCCCGGUGUAGUGGUGGAAUGCGCAGAUAUCGGGAGGAACACCUGUGGCGAAAGCGGCACCCUGGCCCACACCUGACGCUGAGGUGCGAAAGCGUGGGUAGCAAACAGGAUUAGAUACCCUAGUAGUCC
rnacentral:rRNA from 1 species